GACGAACGCUGGCGGCGUGCCUAAUACAUGCAAGUAGAACGCACAGUUUAUACCGUAGCUUGCUACACCAUAGACUGUGAGUUGCGAACGGGUGAGUAACGCGUAGGUAACCUGCCUGGUAGCGGGGGAUAACUAUUGGAAACGAUAGCUAAUACCGCAUAAUAUUAAUUAUUGCAUGAUAAUUAAUUGAAAGGUGCAAUUGCACCACUACCAGAUGGACCUGCGUUGUAUUAGCUAGUAGGUGAGGUAACGGCUCACCUAGGCGACGAUACAUAGCCGACCUGAGAUGGUGAUCAGCCACACUGGGACUGAGACACGGCCCAUACGCCUACGGGAGGCAGCAGUAGUGAAUCUUCGGCAAUGGGCGAGAGUCUGACCGAGCAACGCCGCGGGAGUGAAGAAGGUUGUCGGAUCGUAAAGCUCUGUUGUAAGAGAAGAACGGGUGUGAGAGUGGAAAGUUCACACUGUGACGGUAUCUUACCAGAAAGGGACGGCUAACUACGUG
rnacentral:rRNA from 1 species